rnacentral:rRNA from 1 species
UAGGGAAUCUUCGGCAAUGGACGAAAGUCUGACCGAGCAACGCCGCGUGAGUGAAGAAGGUUUUCGGAUCGUAAAACUCUGUUGUUAGAGAAGAACAAGGACGUUAGUAACUGAACGUCCCCUGACGGUAUCUAACCAGAAAGCCACGGCUAACUACGUGCCAGCAGCCGCGGUAAUACGUAGGUGGCAAGCGUUGUCCGGAUUUAUUGGGCGUAAAGCGAGCGCAGGCGGUUUCUUAAGUCUGAUGUGAAAGCCCCCGGCUCAACCGGGGAGGGUCAUUGGAAACUGGGGGACUUGAGUGCAGAAGAAGAGAGUGGAAUUCCAUGUGUAGCUGUGAAAUGCGUAGAUAUAUGGAGGAACACCAGUGGCGAAGGCGGCUCUCUGGUCUGUAACUGACGCUGAGGCUCGAAAGCGUGGGGAGCAAACAGG